rnacentral:sRNA from 1 species
UGGUGAUCUGGCCCCCAAGGCUCAGGCAGUUCCGGCGAGGGGGGAGCCUCAGCAGGAUUGCUGUGUGAAAACCGAGCUGCUGGGAGAAG